GGAGAUGGACACUGAGAAAAGGGUCCAGGCCCUACGGGGCGCAGCAGGCGCGAAAACUUUGCAAUGUGCGAAAGCACGACAAGGUUAAUCCGAGUGCAAUAUGCUGAAUAUAGCUUUUGGUAAAUGUAAAUAGUUUAUUGAAUAAGGGGAGGGAAAGUCUGGUGUCAGCCGCCGCGGUAAUACCAGCUCCCCGAGUGGUCGGGACGAUUAUUGGGCCUAAAGCAUCCGUAGCCGGUUCUGUAGGUCUUAUGUUAAAAUCAAUUGCUUAACAAUUGAACUGCAUGAGAUACCACAAAACUAGGAGGCGGGAGAGGUGGACGGUAUUCCACGGGUAGGGGUAAAAUCCUCUGAACCGUGGAGGACCACCAGUGGCGAAGGCGGUCCACCAGAACGCGCUCGACGGUGAGGGAUGAAAGCUGGGGUAGCGAACCGGAUUAGAUACCCGGGUAGUCCCAGCUGUAAACGAUGCAAGCUAGGUGAUGCAUUAGCCACGUGUUAAUGCAGUGCCGCAGGGAAGCCGUUAAGCUUGCCGCCUGGGGAGUACGGUCGCAAGGCUGAAACUUAAAGGAAUUGGCGGGGGAGCACCACAAGGGGUGAAGCCUGCGGUUCAAUUGGAGUCAACGCCGGGAACCUUACCAGGAGAGACAGCAGAGUGAAGGUCAAGCUGAAGACUUUACCAGACAAGCUGAGAGGAGGCGCAUGGCCGUCGACAGCUCGUGCCGUGAGGCGUCCUGUUAAGUCAGGCAACGAGCGAGACCCCUACCAUUAAUUGCUACCAUUGAUCGAAAGGUUGGCGGAGCUAGUUAAUGGGACUGCCGUUGAUAAAACGGAGGAAGGAAGGGGCCACGGCAGGUCAGUAUGCCCCGAAA
rnacentral:rRNA from 1 species